CUUCCUUGAUCUGUACAUGUACUUAUUUUGCGAUUUGGAAUUAUGGUUAAUGUGGUUCGAAGUCGACACUCAACCACCCAUGAUAUAUGAAUUUAGGAUGAUCGAUCAAUCGAUCAAAGAAUCAAUGAAAAAAAUCCUGCCCAAAUUUCAAUAUUCAAACCGCAAAUGAAAGAAAACAUCCAAGUUUGAUAUGACUAAAAAAAUAUUGAAAUGUUAAUGUAUGUAGUGUAUUUUUACUUAAAGAGGAAUUUCAACGAACACCUUGAAUGCAACAACAAACUUAUAAAUAGAUUUUAUUUUCUAAAACAGAUUAAUUUCAACCU
rnacentral:lncRNA from 1 species